rnacentral:rRNA from 1 species
AGAGUUUGAUCAUGGCUCAGAUUGAACGCUGGCGGCAUGCCUUACACAUGCAAGUCGAACGGCAGUACGGACUUCGGUCUGGUGGCGAGUGGCGAACGGGUGAGUAAUACAUCGGAACGUGUCCUGGAGUGGGGGAUAGCCCGGCGAAAGCCGGAUUAAUACCGCGUACGCUCUGUGGAGGAAAGCGGGGGAUCUUUCGGGACCUCGCGCUCAAGGGGCGGCCGAUGGCAGAUUAGGUAGUUGGUGGGGUAAAGGCCUACCAAGCCGACGAUCUGUAGCUGGUCUGAGAGGACGACCAGCCACACUGGGACUGAGACACGGCCCAGACUCCUACGGGAGGCAGCAGUGGGGAAUUUUGGACAAUGGGCGCAAGCCUGAUCCAGCAAUGCCGCGUGUGUGAAGAAGGCCUUCGGGUUGUAAAGCACUUUUGUCCGGAAAGAAAACCUCUGGGUUAAUACCCCGGGGGGAUGACGGUACCGGAAGAAUAAGCACCGGCUAACUACGUGCCAGCAGCCGCGGUAAUACGUAGGGUGCGAGCGUUAAUCGGAAUUACUGGGCGUAAAGCGUGCGCAGGCGGUGCUGUAAGACCGAUGUGAAAUCCCCGGGCUUAACCUGGGAACUGCAUUGGUGACUGCAGCGCUGGAGUAUGGCAGAGGGGGGUGGAAUUCCACGUGUAGCAGUGAAAUGCGUAGAGAUGUGGAGGAACACCGAUGGCGAAGGCAGCCCCCUGGGCCAAUACUGACGCUCAUGCACGAAAGCGUGGGGAGCAAACAGGAUUAGAUACCCCCGUAGUCC